rnacentral:rRNA from 1 species
CGUUAGCGGCGGACGGGUGAGUAACACGUGGGUAGCCUACCUAUAAGACUGGGAUAACUUCGGGAAACCGGAGCUAAUACCGGAUAAUAUUUCGAACCGCAUGGUUCGAUAGUGAAAGAUGGUUUUGCUAUCACUUAUAGAUGGACCCGCGCCGUAUUAGCUAGUUGGUAAGGUAACGGCUUACCAAGGCGACGAUACGUAGCCGACCUGAGAGGGUGAUCGGCCACACUGGAACUGAGACACGGUCCAGACUCCUACGGGAGGCAGCAGCA